rnacentral:lncRNA from 1 species
GACGAUCAAUUGUAUUUUGCUUCCGUUCACAUUGAAUUAAUGGUUACUAGGGGAGGCAGGGAUAACAAGCCGGUAAUUAAUAAUAGGUUCUUUUUUCCAAGGGAUUGGGCUAAGGGUAGGCUAGAAAGUUUGCAUGGCAAUUGGAUAAAUAAGUGAAGUAAAUAAGAAGAGUAUAUAUGUGAGAGCGGAUAAGAUGAAAUUGUAAACCCCAACAACACCAUUCAUCAAUAUUUUUCCUUACUAAUUGAAUCAUUUGCAUUUGCAUGUUUAGUUUUUGUUCUUUGCAUUCAACACUUAAAUUUAAUUUUUUUUCAAGUCUUAAGCAAUUGGGUUACACGAAAGAUUAGGCCUUUGAGUCCUUUGGGAAGAACGAUAUUGGGUUUACCAAUUAUAUUACUUGAUAACGAUUCGGUACACUUGCCAGGGGCUUAACAUCUGGUAAAAGUCUGGUCAACUUAGGGGCCUGUGUGCAAUUUUAAAAAGAAAGGACUGGCUAAAGUGCAAAUAGAGGGAAUUUCAGGGCUUAUGUGCAAUUUUGGAAUGUCAGAAAAGCUAAAAGAUAGAACACAAUUGUUGAAUUAAUUUAAUUUGAGAAUAUCAACUGAAAAUAUCUUGCAAACAAUAUUAUAAUGAUCUAAAUCUUUGAGUUAUUUGGAAGAUAUAAGAUAAAAGAUUUUGUCAACUGAAUAUUCAGAGUCCAAGCCCAAUUAUGCCCUAUAUAAAGAGACCCAGGGGAGGCAAAAUAGGGGGGACUUAAUUCAUCACUCCUCUCUCUCUUAUUUCAUCAUGUACUCUACUCCAUUCAUGGAGAGUGAUGGAUGUCACACCCCAUGCAAAAUUUAAUGUGCAAUAAAGAAUGCAGUAUAGACUAGGAAGUGACUCUUAGGUCGUCUCUCAAGGACCAAAUGUGGUUCAGGAAUUAGGUAUAACACGUAGUGGGGGAGGGGGGGUUUGUGAAAGGAUUGUGAAUGCGGAUAAACUAAAUUAAAACACGGAAGCAACAGAAAUGUAAAAACGGAAUUGCAAACAUAGAUGUAAAAAUGGAAUCAAAUGCAAAAUGAAAACGGUUGGUCAUUAACUCAAUCACUAUGCUUCCAAUCACAGAUUAACGACAANUACACACUACUCUAAUCCAAAUCCAACACGAAUCACCCAACUAAGCGAAGGCUAAUUCGGUCUUCAGAAUUUCAAACUAAGCGAAUGCAAUGCUCAAAUCCAAUCAGUCAUGCACCCUACAGUCUAAUCAACUAA